rnacentral:lncRNA from 1 species
UCACAGUUACAGACUUAUGAAAAAUAUAAUCAACUACAAAUUAACGAAAUCAACUAAAAAAUUAUCGAAGACGACUAAAUGUAUCGAAAACAACUACAAAAAAUGACCAAAUUCAAGCGCAAUCUACUAUAUAAUCCAACAAAAUCGCAAUGCAACAAAAAUCCAUCUUUUCUUGUUGUUACAUUACGUCUUGUUGAGGGCCUGGCAGCAUUGGCAAUGCCCUGCAUACGCACGCAAAAUUACAUCAAGGAAACGACAAUAAUCGAAAUUUUACCGAAAAGGAGAAAAAUGAAAAGAAAAUUCCAAAUCAACUACAAACAUAAAACUUAAAUCACACUAUGAAUCGAGCAGCUUGAAUUACACUAAAUUCAAUUGCAUUAUCACAAUGAAGAUUACAUCUUAAAUGACUUGAUAUUCUAACCUAAAGUCCUAUUCUUAAUUCGAUUGCAUCGAAAAUCAACUAAAAAUGUCAAAAACAACUAAAAACUAUCGAAAAAAGCUAAAAGAAUAGCAAAAUAACGAAAAAACUACAAAAAAUAGCAUAAUAACGAAAACGACUAUACAAAAUAGUCGAAUAACGAAAACAACUAUAUUGUUGCAAAAGAUACCCACCAACAAAAACACCUCCGAUUUUUUUUUAAAAUAAUGGUUGCGGUGGAGUAGAGCGAUGUUACCAGAUCCGUCGAUGGAGACGAGGGUGGAGGUAGAGAGGGAUUACCCAUUACCAAAAAAAACCGAAGGGUCUCCCAUAGUCGAUUCUAACGCCUUUGAUGGCCACCGAAUAUAACGAACAAAGCUUUUGUUAACGAUGUAUGCGGUCGCGAUUUAAAGAUGCAGCCCAAGGUUUCUUUAUCCUCCUCGGGGUCGAUUGAUUCAAUUACAGCGCUGGUGGGGCAAUUUUCCGACGAGGAUUAUAGGAAUGCUUCCAAAAAUUGAAGAAAAAGAGAAAAAAAAAAAAAAAAAAAGAAAGAAACACUAGCAAAUCUGCACUCACCGUAUAAAGGAAAAGGGGAGAUCGAAAAAACCGCAGUUCAUCCUUGUUUUGGCGGUGCCGCCGCCGCCUGCCCUAGCCAUGUUUUCUUCUGC